rnacentral:rRNA from 1 species
GUAAUUUAAAGAACGUGGCUCCCUGCCCCGGUUUCGGGACGCAGGGGCUGCGAACUCUUGAUCAUAUAAAACGACUCUCGACAACGGAUAUCUCGGCUCUCGCAUCGAUGAAGAACGUAGUGAAAUGCGAUACUUGGUGUGAAUUGCAGAAUCCCGUGAACCAUCGAGUUUUUGAACGCAAGUUGCGCCCGAAGCCUUCUGGCCGAGGGCACGUCUGCCUGGGCGUCA